GUAUGAUACAUGAUAACCAUACAUAAUGACUACUGUAAAUUAUAAACAUCUAAAUGACAUGUAUGAUACAUGAUAACCAUACAUAAUGACUACUGGUUAUUGCUAAUGGAUUUCACAUAGUGGUAACCACAAUUGGUCACCAUAUAGAAGGGGGUGUUUGAACACUCUCAACAUGGAGCAGAUAGACAACAAGGGAGAGGAAGAAAUCAAAGAGCUCAUGGACACGGGGCCCCUCAGAGAGGUGGGCAUGGACCCCAACAAAGAGGUGGGCAUGGGCCCCGACAAAGAGGUGGGCAUGGACCCCGACAAAGAGGUGGGCAUGGGCCCCGACAAAGAGGUGGGCAUGGACCCUAACAAAGAGGUGGGCAUGGACCCUAACAAAGAGGUGGGCAUGGACCCUAACAAAGAGGUGGGCAUGGACCCCGACAAAGAGGUGGGCAUGGACCCCGACAAAGAGGUGGGCAUGGACCCUGACAAAGAGGUGGGCAUGGGCCCUAACAGAGAGGUGGGCAUGGACCACGACAAAGAGGUGGGCAUGGACCCUGACAAAGAGGUGGGCAUGGACCCUGACAAAGAGGUGGGCAUGGACCCUGACAAAGAGGUGGGCAUGGGCCCCGACAAAGAGGUGGGCAUGGGCCCCGUUAGAGGUUUACAUCAGAGAGAGGGAGGCAGACGGCAGGGAACUGUUGUGUCUAAUGAAGUCCGGGCCAUCAUCGGUGACCAUGUGGUUAACAGAGGCCUUACCAUGGCAGAGGAUGAUUAGUUAGGUUAGUUCAACACAAUCUGAAAAGAUCAACUGUCAAUUCGCCAAGAAAACCAAAGACCCCAUGGUGGUGGCCGUGUGCUGACCGAUCAGCAGGAGUGGGGAGUGGUGGAAAUGGUGAGGGCCAGGAAUGACAUACGUCUGUCUGAAAUAAAGCAGGCCAUUGAGGAGAACAAUGACACCUUUGCCAAUGUGGCAUCCAUCAGCCUGCCAACAAUCGCCCAACUUUUGAAGAGGCAUCCAGGUAUCUAUGAAACACAUUUACCUGGUGCCUUUUGAGUGAAACAACGACUGGGUGAAACAAUUGCAGGCUGAGUAUGUUCAGUUACAGCACUACUGUAUAUACUGUAUUACUAUUACUAUUAAUGCACAUGCUACUUCACAAUAUCAUAUUGGAACUAUACUGCAAAAAUAACUAACCAAAAUAUAUUUUUAGAGGGUGAUGGUGCUUGAUGUUGCUGUGAACCAUCACAAGUAUAUCUUCGUUGAUGAAACAGGCUUCAAUCAGGCCAAAACUCGGCACCAUGGGUAGAACCUCACCGGCCAACGGGCGACCGUCCAAGCGCCUGGACAACGGGGGGAAACAUCUUCAUGUGCACAGUUAUCUCUGAAUAGUAUGGUAUGGUAGGAUAUAGGCCUACCAUCAUGGUGUGGUAGGAGGUAGACCUACCAUCAUGGUGUGGUAGGAGGUAGACCUACCAUCAUGGUGUGGUAGGAGGUAGGCCUACCAUCAUGGUGUGGUAGGAGGUAGACCUACCAUCAUGGUGUGGUAGGACGAAGGCCUACCAUCAUGGUGUGGUAGGACAUAGACCUACCAUCUUGGUGUGGUAGGAGGUAGGCCUACCAUCAUGGUGUGGUAGGAGGUAGACCUACCAUCAUGGUGUGGUAGGAUGUAGGCCUACCAUCAUGGUGUGGUAGGAGGAAUUGCAGGCCGAAUAUGGAAACCAUGUGUUUGAUGUAUUUGAUACCAUUCCACUCAUUCUGUUCCAGCCAUUACCACGAGCCCAUCCUCCCCAAUGAAGGUGCCACCAACCUCCUGCGAUGCAGACAAAUGUCAAGCUUGGAUUCACCAUGCCAUGUUUUAUUUUCAUUCAUUUCAUUUCUCACAUUUGAUUAGACAGUAUGUUGCAAUUAUAUCUGAAAAUUCAUUGUUUUUAUUUGCAUGAAUGAUUGUAGAGGACGUUUUCAUGGAAUACAUGUUGGAUAGAUAUGAUAGAUUUUCUGUAAAUUUUUUGGGGUAAUGUAAGUGUAUUGCCUAAUGUGAAAACUGUAAUCUGCUAUUCACAGGACUGUGUUCCUUUCAGCACCUCUAAGGGGGAUUUGAAACGCGUAUCUUGCAUUGUUUGCUAUUGGAUUAACUGGGAGUUAAAAAUAAUCAAUUGUAAAGACAUCAUUAUGUUGUGUUCUGGUGAAUAAACCAAUGUCACAUUACAUUUCACAAUAAACUUUGAUUUUAAAUGAAUGGUUGUGUGGUGCGAUAUGUUUACAAUCCAAAUGAAUGCACAAUGAAAGGUUUUCAAUGAAAGACUGGCUGUGUCACAAGUGUUACCAGUUUGG
rnacentral:lncRNA from 1 species